AUUGGAUAUUAUAUUUCCUUUCUCAUAAAAAAAUGAAUCCUCUUACAAUAGGGAAAUUAUAAGAGAUGGUGUAAUAAUUUCUCAUUCUAUUUUCCCUUCGAGUGGCGGACAGGAAGGAAGAAGGAUGGGGAUGCAGAUUUUGGGGCUAUGGUCACCUGCUCCUGCUGCGUGGGUUCAUGUGCCUGAAACCCGAAACAGGCCUAUUCACUCGUUACCAACUGCAGCACUAGCAACUACAGCUUCUCUCUCGUCUACACCUCCCACAAUCCAGGUUGUUGGUGGAAAAAAUCCGAGUUGGCAUGGAAAUGUGAACUCCAAUUCCAGUAAUGGUUUUGGAGGGGACACUGAUUGGGUUGAUCUUGAUACGGAUCUUUAUUACUGGACGAAGGCUCUGCGCCCUUUUCAGUGGUAUCCUGGUCAUAUUGCCAAAACAGAAAAAGAACUGAAAGAGCAACUUAAGUUCAUGGAUGUUGUGAUAGAGGUGCGAGAUGCGAGAAUUCCUUUGUCCACAACCCAUCCACAGAUGGAUUCAUGGCUUGGAAAUAGGAAAAGAAUUUUAGUUUUGAAUAGAGAAGAUAUGAUCUCCAAGGCAGACCGGAAUGCUUGGGCAAAUUAUUUUUCAAAGCAGGGAAUAAAGUUUGUCUUUUCCAAUGGGCAACUUGGAAUGGGGACUAUGAAGCUGAGCCGGUUAGCAAAGGCGCUAGCUACAAAUGUAAAUGUCAAACGCAGAGCCAAAGGGCUUCUUCCUCGUCCAGUGAGUUAUUCAGAUGCUAUGGGGACAAUGAUAAAAAGGAUCAUAAUUGCACUCUAACCAUUUUUUUUUUAUUGAGAUUUCUUUCACUAUCAUGUAGGUUCGAGCUGGUAUAGUUGGGUAUCCAAAUGUUGGGAAAUCAUCUUUGAUCAACCGUUUGCUAAAACGUCGAAUGUGUGAAGCAGCCCCUAGACCUGGAGUUACAAGAGAAUUGAAGUAUGUAUUUACUUUCAUUAACUUCUCUGUUGUGUAAGAUGUGAAGUUGGAAGCAAAGAUGAAGUGAAACUGCAAAUAGUUUAAAACCCGAGCAUUGCCUUAAUACUGAAUAAAUUUUAUUGUGACCUUCUUUUCCUUUAUGCUUCCCCCACCCCACUCCUGCAUGUCAACCAAAAAGAAACCCCCCAAAAAAAAAUUACUUUGUUGUAAACCAAGAAUUGGGUGCAGUCCUAGGGUUGAUUUAUAGAUCCAAAGAUAUUGAGUUUUCUGCAAUUAUGAUUGGAAGAAGAAUUGACUUUUUGGCCAUGAAGUUCUUAAUAUGCUGAGUAUUUCAGAAACUUGCUAGUUUGUUGGCAAAUUAGAAUAUUAUCUCUUCAUAGUAUUGUGUAUGAAAGAACUGUCUUACUAGAUGUUUUUUCACUGGUUCCAUAAAUGAUUUGUAGAAUAAAUACUGGCUAUGGUUAUACAUAUUUAGUGGGUUUCAUUAUUGUUUAAAAGAUGGGUUCGAUUUGGGAAGGAACUUGAGUUGCUAGACUCUCCAGGCAUAAUCCCAAUGCGGAUUAGUGAUCAAUCAGCUGCCAUAAAGCUUGCUAUAUGUGAUGACAUUGGGGAGAGAUCCUAUGAUGUGGCUGAUGUAGCAGCAAUUCUUGUACAGAUGCUGACAAUGAUUCCAUCAGUAGGUGUGAAGACACUUCAUAACCGCUACAAGAUUGAUGUAGAUGGGCAUAAUGGUAGAAUAUUUAUUCAGAAGCUUGCAUUCCACUUGUUCAAUGGGGACACCCAUCAAGCAGGUUUCCGUAUGUUGUCUGAUUUUCGAAAAGGCAAGUUUGGUUGGGUGGCACUAGAGAGGCCACCAAGGUAAUGCUGUUGGUAGCUUUGAAUGGAAUUACUAUAUUUCUAAAGCUUUCAUCCAUGACUGUGAUGCCUUGAGCGUGCCAAGUGUUGAAACUUUGAAGAUACUGAUAUUGGUAUGUCAGGGAGCCAUAGAAGGAGGGAAAAAGCUUCCAAUUAUUCUAAACCCUCGAAGCAAAUUUAGCUGGUACAACAGUAAAAUCUGCACGAGACCCAACCAUGGCAGGUGUAUAUGAAAUAAAGUUUUGGACCAUACAUUGGUAGUGUACUGGUUCAUCUGUUUCUCAGAUUUAUCAAAUUGUUAUCUCCAGGGAAGUUGCAGCAAAAGCAGUUACAAUAUUUUGUAUUUAUCCAAUAUAGCAAAUCGCUGUAGAACCCCUGAUGAAAUGGCUUUUUAAGUAUGCCUCGUGUUUAUACUUCAUACUGAAACAUGUAAUUUUCAAAUUUGUACAUCAAUCCAGAGAAGCUAAUUAUUUGAACUGAGCCACUUCCCAGAAGGCACAAGUUAUCUAUGUGCAUGUGCCAUAUAAGCCUGGGAUUGAGCCCUCGGUCCAUGGCUUGCUUUCUUGUCUGGUUUGUUUAAUUCUAGUCUUGUAAAAUUGGGCUAAAAAAUAGCCCAUUAAAGAUCUUUUUCUGCAAG
rnacentral:misc_RNA from 1 species